rnacentral:rRNA from 1 species
AUUGAACGCUGGCGGCAUGCCUUACACAUGCAAGUCGAACGGCAGCACGGGGGCAACCCUGGUGGCGAGUGGCGAACGGGUGAGUAAUGCAUCGGAACGUGCCCAGUAGUGGGGGAUAACCAGUCGAAAGACUGGCUAAUACCGCAUACGACCCAGGGGUGAAAGCGGGGGACCGUAAGGCCUCGCGCUAUGGGAGCGGCCGCUGUCUGAUUAGCUAGUUGGCGGGGUAAGAGCCCACCAAGGCGACGAUCAGUAGCUGGUCUGAGAGGACGACCAGCCACACUGGGACUGAGACACGGCCCAGACUCCUACGGGAGGCAGCAGUGGGGAAUUUUGGACAAUGGGCGCAAGCCUGAUCCAGCCAUGCCGCGUGCGGGAAGAAGGCCUUCGGGUUGUAAACCGCUUUUGGCAGGAACGAAACGGCGCAGGCCAAUACCUUGCGCUAAUGACGGUACCUGCAGAAUAAGCACCGGCUAACUACGUGCCAGCAGCCGCCGUAACAC